rnacentral:rRNA from 1 species
GAUGAACGCUGGCGGCGUGCUUAACACAUGCAAGUCGAACGGAAAGGCCCAAGCUUGCUUGGGUACUCGAGUGGCGAACGGGUGAGUAACACGUGGGUGAUCUGCCCUGCACUUCGGGAUAAGCCUGGGAAACUGGGUCUAAUACCGGAUAGGACCACAUUUUGGAUGGUGUGGUGGAAAGUUUUUCGGUGUGGGAUGAGCUCGCGGCCUAUCAGCUUGUUGGUGGGGUAAUGGCCUACCAAGGCGUCGACGGGUAGCCGGCCUGAGAGGGUGUACGGCCACAUUGGGACUGAGAUACGGCCCAGACUCCUACGGGAGGCAGCAGUGGGGAAUAUUGCACAAUGGGCGCAAGCCUGAUGCAGCGACGCCGCGUGGGGGAUGACGGCCUUCGGGUUGUAAACUCCUUACGCUAGGGACGAAGCGUUAUGUGACGGUACCUGGAGAAGAAGCACCGGCUAACUACGUG